rnacentral:rRNA from 1 species
AGCGAACGCUGGCGGCAGGCUUAACACAUGCAAGUCGAGCGGGCCCUUCGGGGUCAGCGGCAGACGGGUGAGUAACACGUGGGAACGUACCCUUUGGUUCGGAAUAACGCUGGGAAACUAGCGCUAAUACCGGAUACGCUCUUGUGGGGAAAGGCUUGCUGCCGAAGGAUCGGCCCGCGUCUGAUUAGCUAGUUGGUGGGGUAAUGGCCUACCAAGGCGACGAUCAGUAGCUGGUCUGAGAGGAUGAUCAGCCACACUGGGACUGAGACACGGCCCAGACUCCUACGGGAGGCAGCAGUGGGGAAUAUUGGACAAUGGGCGCAAGCCUGAUCCAGCCAUGCCGCGUGAGUGAUGAAGGCCUUAGGGUUGUAAAGCUCUUUUGUCCGGGACGAUAAUGACGGUACCGGAAGAAUAAGCCCCGGCUAACUUCGUG